rnacentral:misc_RNA from 1 species
AAGUCGUAACAAGGUUUCCGUAGGUGAACCUGCGGAAGGAUCAACCCCCCUGUGAACUUUUAUACUUGCUCUCGUCUACCGAAAUUGGAAUCCCUGGUAAAUCAUUGUUGAACAGAUUUUGAUUCAGGGACCUCAGUUUGGUAGUUUCGAUCGAGCGAUCGUUGCAAGUAGCCUGGUUUCCCCAAGCAGUCAGUGUCUGAUUGUGUAAGGAUAACGCUUUUCGAUCACUAGAGGCCGACACCGGCCCUACCAACUUUCGCCUCGUAGGAAACUGCUGGCAACAAAACGAACAACUGUUAACAAUGGAUAUCUUGGUUCUC